AGCGAACGCUGGCGGCAGGCCUAACACAUGCAAGUCGAACGAACUCUUCGGAGUUAGUGGCGGACGGGUGAGUAACACGUGGGAACGUGCCUUUAGGUUCGGAAUAACUCAGGGAAACUUGUGCUAAUACCGAAUGUGCCCUUCGGGGGAAAGAUUUAUCGCCUUUAGAGCGGCCCGCGUCUGAUUAGCUAGUUGGUGAGGUAAAGGCUCACCAAGGCGACGAUCAGUAGCUGGUCUGAGAGGAUGGUCAGCCGCAUUGGGACUGAGACACGGCCCAAACUCCUACGGGAGGCAGCAGUGGGGAAUCUUGCGCAAUGGGCGAAAGCCUGACGCAGCCAUGCCGCGUGAAUGAUGAAGGUCUUAGGAUUGUAAAAUUCUUUCACCGGGGACGAUAAUGACGGUACCCGGAGAAGAAGCCCCGGCUAACUUCGUG
rnacentral:rRNA from 1 species